AAGAGAACAUUGAAAUCUACAAUACCACUUCUAUCGACGACUUAACAAUUAAUAUUUUUAUCGACUAUUGGUAUGUUUUUUAAUUUGGCAGAUGCACAGUUUUCGUCUUAAUUUUAAGUAAAAAAAAAAAGGAAAACAAUUAAAACAUGAAUUUGAGGCUCGAUUCAAGCACGAGAUAUUUUCGGAAAAGGUUAUUGUCGCUGGAUACACAGUUUUAAGAGCGCAAUUUGCUGGCAAAGAGGACGUGAUUUUUAUAGUUGGUCUAAACUAUCGACGUUCUGCCCUGCAGCAUUCUAGUGGCAACAAUUGUCGCUUGCGUCAAUGUUACGUCAUUGGUACUGAAGCACGUAGUCUAGGCUAUGGAUAACGAAUUGAUUUUACGUAAAACACUGUAUUAGAACCCUAAAAAUAUUUCAGUAAUAUUGAAGAAGGAAACGAUAUA